CAAGAUGUGAANUCCCCGAGCUUAACUUGGGAACUGCGUUUUGAACUGGUAAGCUAGAGUAUGUCAGAGGGGGGUAGAAUNCCACGUGUAGCAGUGAAAUGCGUAGAGAUGUGGAGGAAUACCGAUGGCGAAGGCAGCCCCCUGGGAUAAUACUGACGUUCAUGCUCGAAAGCGUGGGUAGCAAACAGGAUUAGAUACCCUGGUAGUNCACGCCCUAAACGAUGUCAAUUAGCUGUUGGGGCACUUGACGCCUUAGUAGCGAAGCUAACGCGUGAAAUUGACCGCCUGGGGAGUACGGUCGCAAGAUUAAAACUCAAAGGAAUUGACGGGGACCCGCACAAGCGGUGGAUGAUGUGGAUUAAUUCGAUGCAACGCGAAGAACCUUACCUGGUCUUGACAUGUACGGAAUCUUCCAGAGACGGAAGAGUGCCUUCGGGAGCCGUAACACAGGUGCUGCAUGGCUGUCGUCAGCUCGUGUCGUGAGAUGUUGGGUCAAGUCCCGCAACGAGCGCAACCCUUGUCAUUAGUUGCCACCAUUCAGUUGGGCACUCUAAUGAGACUGCCGGUGACAAACCGGAGGAAGGUGGGGAUGACGUCAAGUCCUCAUGGCCCUUAUGACCAGGGCUUCACACGUCAUACAAUGGUCGGUACAGAGGGUAGCCAAGCCGCGAGGUGGAGCCAAUCUCAGAAAACCGAUCGUAGUCCGGAUUGCACUCUGCAACUCGAGUGCAUGAAGUCGGAAUCGCUAGUAAUCGCAGGUCAGCAUACUGCGGUGAAUACGUUCCCGGGUCUUGUACACACCGCCCGUCACACCAUGGGAGUGGGGGAUACCAGAAGUAGG
rnacentral:rRNA from 1 species